AUGAAAAGAACUCCCGAUUCCGAUUAUUGCUCAAAGACUUUCUUUCCUUCUGUUACUGGGGCUGCCGCGGUCCGGGGCACCACUGUUUCUUGCGCGGGCCUCGGAGGGAGCCCGCUGAUGCUCUCCCUCGUAGCGUCACAGUCCACAUGUUCUGCACGUGUCGUCAGAAUGAUUAUACAGCAAAAUGCCGACUUGAGGACGACUCCCUUGCCUUCCCCAUUGAACACCCUGACGGCUCUUGUGACUUUCAAACUAGCGACCAUCCCUUUGCCGAGCGUGGGCCCACUUCCUGCUCUGACUUCACUCCACUCUGCCAGUCCUGUCUCCCAUCUGCUGCCACACCCUCUGUCAGGCAUCAGAGGCCCAGGAAUUUAUGGCGAUAGCUCAUACCUGAUCAGACCCAUAGUACACCCAAGACAGGUGGGAAGAGCCCCACACUCCCGACAAGGUCUGGGCCUUGGAGGAGGGCUCACCACACAGCCCGUAGAGCAGCCACACACCAGCCCUGGAGCCUGCCCUUCAGUGCCAAGUAAAGAGACCCCCAGAAGCAGCUCCUCCUGUCCCUUCCAAGCAUCCUGGUGACUGCAGCCUCACUCAAUGUUGUGACUGCAGUGUCAGAAGAGACAGAGCCGGCAUAGUCCUGCUGAGCCUGUCUUGGACUCCUACUCCGGAGACGAUGAGAUGAUCAUUGUUAAAAGGCCCUGCGCCGUGAGCGUGAUUCACCCUGAAGGAUGAUAACCAAGAGGCUCGGGGUUGAGUGAUGGUGAUGCGGGUGUGUCUGGGGUGCUGGAAUUAGGGCUGCAGAGUGCAUGGAGGAAAAGGUCUCACCGCAGUCAGGUGUGAGCCUUCAGAGAGGGAAGUGGUUGGCAGGAGAUAGCACCCUUGGGAAAACUGCACAUAGCAGUCAAAGUAUCAGAGAAUUCUCUAGUGAAGGUGGCUGAAAUCACCGAAGAAGGAGGCUGUCAUUUAGGGGUUUUUUGAUGUUGACAGAAAAUGGAGCAAGAGAAAAAUAAAAUACUAUGAAAAUGUCCUUCCUUAGCACUUGUCUCACACACACACACACACACACACACACACACACACACACACAAACAGAAAACAAUCUUGAGCACAGACUUAGUCUUGGCAGUAAACAUUUUCAAAACAGAAAAGCUAACUUCAACCCAGUUUGGAUAUCCUCGAGGGUAGGAAGAGUGGCUGUUUCUCUUCAAGGAGAGGACUCUUCCUCGCUGGCCAGGGUCCUGCAGUGACUGCUGUGGUGUCCCCCUGUCCUGCCUACUAC
rnacentral:lncRNA from 1 species